rnacentral:rRNA from 1 species
GACGAACGCUGGCGGCGUGCUUAACACAUGCAAGUCGAACGGAAAGGCCCUGCUUUUGUGGGGUGCUCGAGUGGCGAACGGGUGAGUAACACGUGAGUAACCUGCGCCUGACUUUGGGAUAACUUCAGGAAACUGGGGCUAAUACCGGAUAGGAGCUCCUGCUGCAUGGUGGGGGUUGGAAAGUUUCGGCGGUUGGGGAUGGACUCGCGGCUUAUCAGCUUGUUGGUGGGGUAGUGGCUUACCAAGGCUUUGACGGGUAGCCGGCCUGAGAGGGUGACCGGCCACAUUGGGACUGAGAUACGGCCCAGACUCCUACGGGAGGCAGCAGUGGGGAAUAUUGCACAAUGGGCGGAAGCCUGAUGCAGCAACGCCGCGUGCGGGAUGACGGCCUUCGGGUUGUAAACCGCUUUCGCCUGUGACGAAGCGUGAGUGACGGUAAUGGGUAAAGAAGCACCGGCUAACUACGUG